CUACGUGCCAGCAGCCGCGGUAAUACGUAGGGUGCGAGCGUUAAUCGGAAUUACUGGGCGUAAAGCGUGCGCAGGCGGUUUGCUAAGACCGAUGUGAAAUCCCCGGGCUCAACCUGGGAACUGCAUUGGUGACUGGCAGGCUAGAGUAUGGCAGAGGGGGGUAGAAUUCCACGUGUAGCAGUGAAAUGCGUAGAGAUGUGGAGGAAUACCGAUGGCGAAGGCAGCCCCCUGGGCCAAUACUGACGCUCAUGCACGAAAGCGUGGGGAGCAAACAGGAUUAGAUACCCUGGUAGUCCACGCCCUAAACGAUGUCAACUAGUUGUUGGGGAUUCAUUUCCUUAGUAACGUAGCUAACGCGUGAAGUUGACCGCCUGGGGAGUACGGUCGCAAGAUUAAAACUCAAAGGAAUUGACGGGGACCCGCACAAGCGGUGGAUGAUGUGGAUUAAUUCGAUGCAACGCGAAAAACCUUACCUACCCUUGACA
rnacentral:rRNA from 1 species